AGGGAGCCGGAGCCACCGGCAGGUCCUGGAGCAGGGCAGGUGCUGCUGGGGAGUGCCCACCUGAAAUUGCUGGCGAGCUUCAAGCAAGUUUAAAGUGGAUUCAUCAUUUAAGGAUAUUUAGAAUCAGGCACCAUAAGUGCAGCCCAAAGGUACUGGAGAGCUGUUACUGAGGAAGCAGGAAGAUGAGCAAAACUAGAUCCCCUCCACUCCAGGUACCUGGAGGCCUCCCUGCAAACAAACCACAGUGCCUCCCUUCCCUUGAGCCUUCCCCAGCCCUGCUUGCCCCACACCAGCCUGCCUGCAGGCCAGGGGCCCACAUCUCUGCGCUCUUCCUGGGUGCCCAGCCCUACCCAGGCAGCCACUCGCAGGGCCUGUAUGCACUUAGUAUCCCUGGGGAUGGGACCCCCUCCUUCCACCUUGCACUCUGCUCACCCACCAGCACAGCCCAUAAAACUUAUGAAACCAUCAAUAAAUCCUGUACAAAGUCUCUAAUCAGUCCUAUAUGUAGCCCCAACACUAAAAUAGUCCAGACUGCCCCACCAUUUCACCAACUCCAGAAGCUUCCUCAGCUUGUCCCAUUGCCUUGGAAAAAACCCAAAUGCAGCCCAAAAAGUAGCAGCUGAGCCCUUCAAUGCACUUCAUCCUCAUGGAACAGAUACCUGUCCCUGCCCAGUCCACAGGAGAUUCCCUGGGAGUGUGUAGUUGCUACUGUCUUCUCUAUCCCUGCUCUGGAGCAUGAUCCCACAGACAGGUAAACCAGACGCUGCUCUCCCAGCUGCUUAAUUCCAGCUGGUGUUAAUUCCUGCCCCUUUCCCAGGGGAUUGUGGGAAGGGUGGUGGGCCCUGGGUAUAUGAGCCUUGGCUUGGAGCUGCGGUGGCAGCUCUAGAGUUGUUGGAGUUUUUUGUGUGAGUGUGCUUGCAGAGUGAAGCUCACUGGCUUCAAGAGGCAUCUGUGUUCUGCAAGAGUCUCCAGUAAUGAAGAGGAACCUUGUAACUGCAGGACCAAUGCAGUUGACCAACUGUGGAGCUCUCUUUAAACAAGGAUGGAUUGAGACUUCUGGCCUUCUGAAAGCUAAGUUGAGGGAUGGGUGCUGGGGAAGGCUCAGAGUGGACAGACAAGGUUGGGAAUUACAGGGAGGGGUUUUAAAGUUAAGAGGGGACUGUCUGGGAACUGUCCCUUUGGGCACGUAAAGGCAAUGGGUUACUCUUCAGCAUGAUGUCAGUGUGUGCCAGGCAGGGCAGCUCCAGCCUGCGUGUCUCAUUGUGUAGUUUGUGUGAUGCAUCAUCUUUUGUGUCUCAGGCCUUCCUUGGGUCUCAAUCUCCUCUGUGUGCUCUAGGAGCACAGCACUCACCUUGAAGCCCAUCCUUAGGUCUUGAAUAUCUGUGCUCAUCGUCAUGGCGCCAAUGGGCGCUUCUGUUCUUGUGUUAACUCAAAAGCACAGCUCGGCCUCGUGACUUUGACGUUUCUGCUCAGUCCUCUUUGGGGCCGGUGUCGUGGUCAGUGUUGUCAGUACUGCUCUGGAACCUUCUGUUUCACAGGGAGCCCUUUUUCUGGGCAUUUUUCCAUGUGUCCUUUUGUUCUUGGGUCUUAGCAAAGCUUCUUGUGCAUCUGUCUAUUUCAGUUCUGACUGUUGCUUCUUGUCAUGGAUUGUGAUGUUUGACUCUUUCUCUGUGACUGCCUUGUGGCCUCCUUACUGUUGAAGUCAGAAAUAGAUUGACUACAGGAAUAUUGAGAUGAAUUGUAUACCUGUUAAAGACUUGGCAAACUGACAACUGCUUGACCUAAGUGACUUGACUUUUGACUUGACUUGUGACUUGAUUUAGUGCAAGUAGCUGAAGUGAUAAGGCCUUAGGCUGCGAUUCUAAUUCAUCCUUAGCUGAACACCUGUGAUGGACCUUAUACAGACUUUCACUCUACCACCUCUAAUAACGUUGAAACAAGAUGCAGACAACAAGAUAAUGAGUCAAAAUUAUCUUCUACAAUGGGAAGAUGCAUUGACUGAAACUUAACUUGGAGAGAGCAAACAAAAUCAGAAUGUGGAGGGAUUUUUCCAGCUGAGAAACAAGUGGAAGAGAGCAAAGAGAAAUUUUCCAGGCAAGAAGUGACUGAUGGUGAACAGGGACCCUCAGAGGAGGACAGAACCCAUCAGAAUGGGAUGAUGUCAUCAUUGUGGGAGGUAAUUGGAUGAACAGUCAGAAGUACCAGUGUGUGGUCAGACCGUGAGCCUUUAAAAGGCACAGGUACAGUCCAGGUGGAGUCACUCUCCAGAGGCACCCAGCUCAAGCUGCAAUAAACUGAUUUUGUGGCAGAACUGAGGGUGUGAGUCUUUCUUUACAGUCAGAGGUGAAGACUGAAUCCAGCUGCACCCAGGCUCCUCCCUGAGAAGAAGUUUAGAAAGCAAGGAGAUCUGCUCUGAGCCUCACAACUCGACAAGAGGGAUGUUCUGGACUCUUCAACACUCAUCUCGUGCUUGCAGUCCUGUAUGUCUUGCCACCUGGUAGCAUCUGCAUUGGAAGAGGAGUUUUUUUGUUGCUGAGAGUUUCCUCUCAUGCUUGUGUCACAUCCUUUGUGUUUGUGUGUUGUGUCUCUGUGCUGUUGGGUUGGAGCUGCUCUCUCUGGAGGCUGUAGCAACUGUGGGGUUGGGAGAAGAAUAGCAACGAGAGCCUGUGGUUUGUGUUGCUGUGCUGCCUGUGCCUGUUGGGGUGGAGAUGGAGCAUUUGAAGUGAAGUAGCAGCCCUUAGCAGGGGAGGGCGGUUAUUUUCAUAGUGUUUUUGAGAAGGGGUGGCUGGAGCUACCUGGGAGAGGCUGCUGGAGCCAUAGCCAAGCAGGUUGGGUGUCCAGGGUGUUAAGGCCUGAAUGUGUGGGGCGUAAUGUUAACUUGUUUUUUAGCUCCCUUGUAGGUAGUUAGGAUCUCAAAGAUGUUCCUAAAUGGGAAUCUCUGGAAUUGCAUCUGGCUGAUUGCUUGUUACUGCUUUUUCAGAUGCAGGGAGAGGAGCCACGCAGCAGAGGGUGAUGGAAGAGAGGAGCAGAGCGUGGUGAGGAGCUGGGUCGGUGCGUAUUGAAGAGUCUGGGUGCAAAGCACCGAGGGAAGCAAGAGAUCUGCACUGGAGGUGACUCGAGCAAGGCAGCACACAGGGCUGGACGUGGCAACCUGUGACCAUCAGAGGCCGGACAGGUGAGCCACGAAGUUUUGCAGCCUUGGAGCAGUGGAGCAGCAUGCCAGCGGGCCAUCUGUGGAGAUGACACAGGUGUCAGCCAGAUGCCACAAGCAAGGAUGGCCUCAGCGUCCGAUUCUGGAACCAGCAGAUCACUAUGAGGAGCCUGGCGAUGGCAGGAACAUCCCGGCGAGGAUGGCUUGUUGAGGAGGAAGGCUGCAGAGCCCCGGCCAUCUGAAAGCUAAGUGGAGGGGCUGGGAGGAGCGGACAAGGUUGGGGACUGGAAGGGAGGUUUUCAAAGUUGGUGUAGGGGAGAGGACUAGCAGGGCACAGUCCCCUUGGGGCAGGCAAAGGGAGCGGGUUACUCUUCAGCACAAUGUCAGCAUGGGCAGGGCAGCUCCAACCUGUGUCUGGCGCGUACUUCGUGUCGUCUGUUUUCUGUGUCUUAGACUGUGUGUUCCUUGGGUCUUGGUGCCUCCAUAGCUCGGUGACCAGCAGGCACCUCGGUAGCCCUCCCAAGAGUUCAGAAUGCAUCACUUCACUGGCACAGAGCCUGUUGAGCCCUUCUCAUCUCACAAUUACAGCUUGACGCAUGGAUCUCUUUGGCGUGUGUCACAUCCUGGCUGUUUCUGAGCGUUCAUCUCUUGCGGUGGCCAGCCAGGUGCUGCCUGCAGCUCUGCUCUUGAGUCUGCUGUUUCCAUAGAGUCAUUUUCUGGGGUUUCAUCCCCAUGUCCUCACUGGUCUUGGGUCUUCAAGCAUGGCUUCUCACACAUCCCUUAUUCUGGUUUUGAUGGCAGUUUUCUCUUCUGUGUGGCGGCAGUUGCCUCUCCUUGGCAGGUCUGCUUUAGAGCAUCCGUGCCAUUGUGGCACCGUAGGGCUUCUCUGCCAGCAUCAUCUUCCCUGUGGGAAUCUUUCAAUGAGCAAGGACAAGAGACUUAUAGAAAGUUACAAAGGUCUUGUGAAACAAAGAUCCUGAUCUUGUUGAAACAAGAAGAUGGGGAAGCACGUGCUUUGCUUAAAAUGUGGCAGAAUUGCCGAAGUUGGUGUAGCUGAGCGACGUCUGCUCGUGACAAAAUCAACAAUAUGGAAACCAGAUCUUCAGCAUUUAGGCUGCCCACCUCCAACUGAAGACCUACCCACUGUGUGCAGAGCAACGAGCAGCAAGGCCAAGGGCACGGAAGAGGGGAGCAGAGUGCCGGCUGAAGAAGGACAGGCAUCCAGCGCUGGAGUAUCGGCAGGACAGCUGGUGGUUCUGACAAGCUUGAACUUUUUUGGCCGCAUUUUCUGGGUGCGAAUCCAAGUGUGAAGCGAGAUGUUAUCAGCAGAGCAGCCUCUGGCAAGGUGGUACACAAGCCCUCCUAGUCCCCUGGGGUCCCUGCCUGGAUUGUUCAGGAUGGCCUGGUGCUGUGCAUUGCAUUUCCAGAGACAAACAGCAGCUUGGCAGCUUGUGGUCAGGACUCCAGAGAGAUCUGAGAAGGCCCCAGAGCACCUUCUGCAUCCUCUCACAGUCAGCAUGUGAGUGAAGUGAUGCAGGAUUCCCACCUCUGUGCCGGUCCCGCAUGUCAUCCUCUUCCCCCGUGGUUCCAGACUGUCAGCAUGGGAGAGACUUGCUUCCCCUCCAGGUCCAAGUGUUUCCCAGUGCGUGAGGGACCUGCCACAGAACUUGAGCUUUCCUAUUGCAUUGAUUGAAGAGCUGCAUAACAUUUAGAGCCUGGUGUAGGUUGGCUUCUUCCUGCUAAGAAGCCAUUUCUUCACAAAAUGCUUUUCUUUGUCUAAGAUGGAGACAUACAAGUAGCGGUGACCAGAUCUGUGCUUGAAAAUGGACUUGAUGGAGAGUACCAAACUUCUCUUUCAUUGCAGUCUGUAAUGAUUUUUUUGGCCUCAAAUGUUUUUUGUGCUGCUUCUCAAACACACUUUCCCAGGCUUUUUUUAAAUGUAAGCAGACACUGAAAGAAAAACCAGCACUCAGAAUAUUGAUGGAGAAAGAAUUGUGCACAAUUUCAGAACUUCACAGACUUGUUUAUAAGACUUACUUAUUUGAAAAACUGACACACUUGUUGCUAAUCAAUUAAUAACGCAUUAUUUUUCACUUCAUAAUGGAGUCACAAGCUGCUGUUGUCAGACCCUGAUCUCUGGGAGGCUCUUUGUAGAAAAUCAUGCAUAGGAAUAGGAUCAUCCUCUAGGAAAGCUGGAAACACUGUGGUUCAUAAGUUGGAUUUUUUUGUGGAGUAAAACCUGGCCCUGUUGGGCAAGCCUCUUGGAAAUACCCCUGCUUUCCUAGGAACUUGCUGGAGAAUCCCAAGGCAGACUGACCAUGACACCUGAAGCAGAUACCAGCCACUGGUGUGUUCAGAUGCUGAACAAAUAUUUCUCAUACUCCCUUUCAACUGUUGGAAACCUGCCAGAGUUAAAUCCCAUCUAUAAUUUCUGGAGCUUUGCUGUUUUCCUUACUUUUCUG